UCUUUUCUGUUUGUUUUGCAGGACCCUUCCAUCCUCAGGAGGUUCUUUCAUCGGGCAAUGGAGUCAACUCCAGCAAAGACAAGCAUGUUUCUGCCAGUCGAGGCGCCUGGUCGGGUGCACCGGUUGUGAACGUUGCGCCUGCUUCUGUUUGUGGUCCGUUGGAAAUAGAGCCUCUUCCCAGAAGUCCUGGAGGGGAAAAGAGA